UACGAGAGGUGCAAGCGUUGUUCGGAAUGAUUGGGCGUAAAGCGCACGUAGGCGGGUUUGUAAGUCAGUUGUGAAAUCCCUAGGCUCAACCUGGGAACUGCAUCUGAAACUGCAAGUCUUGAAUAUCUCAGAGGUUAGUGGAAUUCCUGGUGUAGGAGUGAAAUCCGUAGAUAUCAGGAGGAACAUCGGAGGCGAAGGCGGCUAACUGGGAGAAUAUUGACGCUGAGGUGCGAAAGCGUGGGGAGCAAACAGG
rnacentral:rRNA from 1 species